UUAGAGACUAAUAUCUUCACGGAUCGUUGUGGUAGGCCAUAUCUUUCUGGUUUGAGACAGGAUUUUUCUUAGUAAUUUCUGAGUUCUUCUUAUUGGUAGAAGCAUCUUCUGAAUAGCCCAUGCCCGUCUGAAUCGUCGAGACUCCAUUUUUCUUAAAUUUUUUCGAACCCUUUUUAUCCGCGGAAGGAUCUUCUGAAUAGCCCAAACUUUUCGUGUUUGAAUGCAUUUUUGUAUGCUAAACCUGCUAGAUAAUACUAUAACUUUUCUAUGUCUUUCGUUAGAGAAUAUGCUUCAUGGCCAGCUGGUAUUUAUAUUUUUUUUGUUGAUAUAACAUUGAGGAUGGGGCAAGAGAAAUGAAGGUUUUGUUGUUGUAGGAAUAAGGAAGAGAGAAGAGAGAGAGAGUGAGAGAGGAA
rnacentral:lncRNA from 1 species